GCACCAUGCUCCAGUGCUCUGGGAGACUUUAUAGUCCUGAGAGUUGAACACUGGAUGACUGACAGCUGUCCUUCAUGACAACAGAAGCCACAGAAAUCCUCCUCAUCAAAAACAUGACUUUGAUCUGCGUCCUCAUCUGGACUCUCCUCUGCUGCUGCUUCACAGAGUCCAGAGGACAGGUCACAGUGACUCAGUCUGGAGCAGUGAGGUCUGCUCCGGGAGGCUCCGUCUCCAUCAGCUGUAGGACCAGUCAGGAUGUUUAUGUUAUUUUAUUCAACCACUGUUUAGCCUGGUACCAACAGAGAGAUGGAGAAACUCCUAAACUGCUUAUUCACAAUGCUAGCACUCGUCAUUCAGGGACUCCAGGUCGUUUUACAGGCAGUGGAUCAAACUCUGACUUCACUCUGACCAUCAGUGGAGUUCAGGCUGAAGAUGCAGCAGUUUACUACUGUCAGAGUUAUCAUGAGAUCAACAGUCAGGAUGUGCUCACACAGUUCCCCUGGGUUCCAGUGGCUGAACGAGGAGUUACUCCCAUUGGACCACUUCCAGGAGUCUCUGAAAAGGCCGAUCCAGACUUGUCCUCCUGCUGGAACCAGCUCCUGGACCUUCUGGUUCUCUGUCAGGUCUCUCACACUGGCCAGAAACUUGUGUCUGACAGUGACCACCUCCAGCUGUUCACAUCAUCGUACAGCCCGAUCCAGGCGAGCUGA